GCACUGCAAAUGUCACUGUACCUUGCUGGAAGGUGAUCUCCCCCCAGCCACGCAUCACAUGGGGAGAGGAGGGGAGGCUCCUACCAGCUGAAAAAUACAAGAGCAGAUCAAAACAGACAAGGCACACUGGGAGUCAGAGAGAGGAAAACAGUAAGUGAGGCUGUAAGGACUCUGCUGACUGGCUGCAGCCUCUGUGGAGAGUCUGCUCAGGUGUUUUGGGGAGGAUGCUUUGCCAGCCCCUGUGGAUGCUGAGGGAGGAGCUGCCACAGGCACACUGCACCCCCAUGACAUGGACAGAAUUUACAGACCACAAACAAAACACAAAUGGCUCUCAAGAAGCUGAGCAGUAAGAGGAGGAUGGAUGUUUGCCAUCAGGAGAGGUGCAGCACCCAUCCCAAAGAGAAAUGGAUUAUCCCUCACCUGUGAUGUGCCCAUGGCUGCAAGGGUCCCAUUUGGCAAGAGUGGCUCCAGCUGCUGCCUUUGGACCCAAGGCCAGUAAUGAAUCACCUCUCCGUAAUAAAUAAACUUUCCACUC